AAAGGAAUUGACGGGGGCCCGCACAAGCAGCGGAGCAUGUGGCUUAAUUCGAAGCAACGCGAAGAACCUUACCAGGGCUUGACAUAUGGGUGAAGCGGGGGAGACCCCGUGGCCGAGAGGAGCCCAUACAGGUGGUGCAUGGCUGUCGUCAGCUCGUGUCGUGAGAUGUUGGGUUAAGUCCCGCAACGAGCGCAACCCCCGCCGCGUGUUGCCAUCGGGUGAUGCCGGGAACCCACGCGGGACCGCCGCCGUCAAGGCGGAGGAGGGCGGGGACGACGUCAAGUCAUCAUGCCCCUUAUGCCCUGGGCUGCACACGUGCUACAAUGGCCGGUACAGAGGGAUGCCACCCCGCGAGGGGGAGCGGAUCCCGGAAAGCCGGCCCCAGUUCGGAUUGGGGGCUGCAACCCGCCCCCAUGAAGUCGGAGUUGCUAGUAAUCGCGGAUCAGCAUGCCGCGGUGAAUGCGUUCCCGGGCCUUGUACACACCGCCCGU
rnacentral:rRNA from 1 species